ensembl:processed_transcript
AUUCGCGGCAACGCGCGCGUUGUCCUGACAACAAGGAUUCACAAACAAACGCAGUUUCUUAACGGUCGUUUAGCAAUCUUUUGUCCGUUUUGUCUCCUUAUUUCGGUCGCGAAAUGAAGAUAAAAUACGUGUUUGUUGAUAUAUUAACUGUAAAUGCCAUUCACAUAUGAACACUAACGUACCACAGUUAAAAUAAAAAGUCACGGUCAAAGGACAAAAGAGAGGGCUACGUUUUUUGGAGAAGCUGGACCAUUUUGACCUUAUCAUCUUCAGCGGUAUAAUUCAGCGAAAUCAGUGAUGUGCAGGGGUUUAAAAAGUACAGCUUGGGAAAUAUAAAGAUGAUGGUUAUUUUAAAGAAGAAGCCUGACACAUUGGAGACUUAACCAUCUUCAAAGGACAAUGCUACAAUUCAAGGAAGUCGACAGUUGUCUCAAUUAUACAGUUUUGCCUUUUUUUUGUACCAUAGUCUAAGUUUGUAUUUUGAUUGCCUAGAAGGUAUUUCUUAUUAAAGAAAAAAAAAAAAAAAAAAAAAAAUAUAUAUAUAUAUAUAUAUAUAUAUAUAUAUAUAUAUAUAUAUAUAUAUAUAUAUAUAUAUAUAUAUAUAUAU